rnacentral:rRNA from 1 species
GAUGAACGCUGGCGGCGUGCUUAACACAUGCAAGUCGAGCGAGAAAAGUUCUUCGGAGCUUUUCUAGCGGCGGACGGGUGAGUAACACGUGGGCAACCUGCCUCAUAGAGGGGAAUAGCCUUCCGAAAGGAAGAUUAAUACCGCAUAACAUUGUUGAAAGGCAUCUUUUAACAAUCAAAGGAGCAAUCCGCUAUGAGAUGGGCCCGCGGCGCAUUAGCUAGUUGGUGAGGUAACGGCUCACCAAGGCGACGAUGCGUAGCCGACCUGAGAGGGUGAUCGGCCACAUUGGAACUGAGACACGGUCCAGACUCCUACGGGAGGCAGCAGUGGGGAAUAUUGCACAAUGGGGGAAACCCUGAUGCAGCAACGCCGCGUGAGUGAUGAAGGUCUUCGGAUUGUAAAGCUCUGUCUUUAGGGACGAUAAUGACGGUACCUAAGGAGGAAGCCACGGCUACCUACGUGCCAGCCGCCGCGGUAACAC